GGUCCUUUUCAGCGCAGGCCAUUCUAUGAUUCUAUGAUUCUCUCUGUGACAGUUACCUCUCCAUUGCUGAGCAGUACCAGUAAUUUCUAAAACACAUGAUCACAACUGAGCACAAAUGUAUGGAUGUUAGAAUAGGAAAAAGGCAUCAACAGUUCUCAGUAGAAGCUUGAAAAAAAAAAACAAACAGGUAAGGGCUUCUUUCUGUGCCAAAAACUGAGCUGUGCUCUGAUUAGAGGGGGAAGAGAGAAAUGAAAGGGUUGCCAGGAAGGUACAAAUAGCUUUUAUGGCUUUAUUGAACUUUAGAGGAUCUCUGUCAGGGCCUUGAGGGCACCAGUAAAUCAAUGCUGACCAGCCUCAUCUGGGGCCUCUAUCAAUACCCAUAGAUACUGCGGCUCUGUUUAAGCUCAGGCCUGCAGUUUGUGUUCCUGACUGAAUACUGUUGGAAAUAUGCUUCUAUUCCACUGCUACUGUAACUGUUACUUGAUCAGGAUCUCAGCCUGUGGGCUGGUUUCUUAGUUCAAUCUGGGACCUUCCAGCUGGUUGAUCACUGAACCUGAUCCUAGCCCUGGCAUGCAGGCUGACAUCUCAGAUUGAUUUCUGCCUCUGGGUUCUUGGUUGGACUUGGUCACUGUGGGAUGGAUACUGACUAUUGAGGCCUCUCACUGACAGCUGUGAGGCCCCCCUUGGCUUGUGGCUCACCUUCCUUUAGGCCUCUCUUUGAUUAUUUCUGGCAAAGACAGGCCUAUAUCCUGAAGGGAGAGAUGUUUCUAGUUGUGUUAGUUUGUAGAACUCUUACAUAUACUCAGAGUCUGUCACUGAAGCCAUUGGGUUCAGACUAGAACGCAAAUAUCACAGCCUCAAACAGAAGAAAAUGAGAUGCCGUCUUUUGUAAGCUGUGAAGUGGGGGAAACUAUUUUUGAGUCUACUGCUUGCAAGAGACUUUUUUAACUACUCUUUGCUGAGAGCUGCCAUAGUAGGAAUUGUCAUCAGAGCAGCAGUGUCUUAUUCAAGCAGGUAGGUGUGCAAGAAAGGACAAGCAGCGAGCAGCAAAGCAGGGAAUAUCUGGUGAUGUUCCAAGAGGAUAUGGGAUAGCAGUAUGAGGACCACCAGAUCGGUAGCAUCUUGGAUCAGGUCCUGAUACCAGCUAACACUAGACAUUCUCAAACUACAGAGUGGUACGCACAGGAGGGACUGGGAAAGGAAAUGACUGGAUGACUGGUGAAAUGGGCACAGAAGCCAUCUCACCAAAGGGGAACACUCUGGGACACCUAUACUUAAGGAAGUAGGCAUGUGCAAGUAUGUUUGGUUUAUUUGUUUGUUUGUUUUAAUUUGAGGGGGUCUUGCUCUUGAAAAAAGCACAAAAUCAAGAUCUUUACAUCAGAAUAGCUCACUGAAACUAAAAUGUUUAUCUUAACUCUUUCAGCUCUCUGAGUGAAACUUGGGCUGUUGUUAUUAGUGCUGUUUUAAAGCUUGAUCUGCAGCUGCUACUGCUAGGCAAGUGGUGGCAAAAAGCUUGUAUAUGUACACCAAGGGAACAGUUUAGAAAAGUUACUCCAAAAUUAGAAUUCCCCUCAGAAAAAUAUUUUGACAGUGACUAAGGCAAGCUUUUAAAUAAUUUAUAUUAAAAAAAAAAACCUUGGUUCAAAGUGUUAAGGAUAGCCAAGUGAAGCAAAUGUAAGCUGGGCACACACCUCCUACUUAUCACCUACAAAAUCUCCAACUGAUAGCAUUACAUUCUAACCAGCCCAUACAGACUUUCUGCAGCUGAUUCCCACCUUUGUGCAUGAAAAGGCUCUGGGAAAUCACUCUGUGUGAUUCCCAGUGUUCCAUAGGGUUGUGAUUUCACAGUGAGGGUUCACUGAGCUCUGAUGGCGUCUGCGAAUGUUGACUUGUGGCCAGGAAUAAAAGAGAAGUGGUGCACAAAAACUUCCAUUAUUUCCCUGGGUAUCCGGGAUUGUGAUUGCACGUGACAUGACUUCUGAUCUGCUGAAGAGGAAGGCAGCCUGGUCCCCAUCAGUCUGUCUGCCGAGGACAUGGUGGUCUGCAGUCUCACUGGUAGAUCACCUUGCUCAUCUCCUAAAUAAAUAAAUAAAAUGUUGA